CGUGUAGGCGGCCUCUUAAGUCUGAUGUGAAAGCCCGGGGCUUACCCCCGGAAGGGCAUUGGAAACUGGGAGGCUAGAGUACCGGAGAGGAAGGUGGAAUUCCUGGUGUAGCGGUGAAAUGCGUAGAUAUCAGGAGGAACACCGGUGGCGAAGGCGGCCUUCUGGACGGAUACUGACGCUGAGACGCGAAAGCGUGGGGAGCAAACAGGAUUAGAUACCCUGGUAGUCCACGCCGUAAACGAUGGGCACUAGGUGUUCGGGGUAUUGACCCCCUGAGUGCCGCAGCUAACGCAUUAAGUGCCCCGCCUGGGGACUACGGCCGCAAGGUUAA
rnacentral:rRNA from 1 species